rnacentral:rRNA from 1 species
CAAGAGUUUGAUCCUGGCUCAGGAUGAACGCCGGCGGUGUGCCUAAUACAUGCAAGUCGUACGCACUGGCCCAACUAAUUGAUGGUGCUUGCACCUGAUUGACGAUGGAUCACCAGUGAGUGGCGGACGGGUGAGUAACACGUAGGUAACCUGCCCCGGAGCGGGGGAUAACAUUUGGAAACAGAUGCUAAUACCGCAUAACAACAAAAGCCGCAUGGCUUUUGUUUGAAAGAUGGCUUUGGCUAUCACUCUGGGAUGGACCUGCGGUGCAUUAGCUAGUUGGUAAGGUAACGGCUUACCAAGGCGAUGAUGCAUAGCCGAGUUGAGAGACUGAUCGGCCACAAUGGAACUGAGACACGGUCCAUACUCCUACGGGAGGUAGCAGUAGGGAAUCUUCCACAAUGGGCGCAAGCCUGAUGGAGCAACACCGCGUGAGUGAAGAAGGGUUUCGGCUCGUAAAGCUCUGUUGUUGGAGAAGAACGUGCGUGAGAGUAACUGUUCACGCAGUGACGGUAUCCAACCAGAAAGUCACGGCUAACUACGUGCCAGCAGCCGCGGUAAGAGCGGUA